CACCAGUGUGCUCAUAUUUGUCAGUGAUCUCCGAGAAAGCACACCGAUAGUGACACACGACACCUGUCAGUGCUAGUGAUCUGCUGAGGUGACGCAAGCACUUACAGUGCCAAGGGAGUGUCAGACAAGAUGCUGCUCGACCCGCUGAGUUUCUCCAGCAGAUUGUUUGUUGCAGUAGUUACAAGAACGUCACUUUCAAUUCAAAGUGGCCAUGGGUCUAAAUUCACCUCAUCAAAGCUGUGGGUCAAAGGAACGCAAGAAAUAGGAGCAGCUGCCAGCCACAUGGCUUCUCGUCUGCUCUGCCACACAAUAAGGUUUUCACCUCUGGUGCUGAGCUACCAUGGGUUCCAGGCUCGUGGUUUAGGAAGU